GGGAGUUGUAGUUGUAGUUCCCGGGAGCGAACUACCGGCGGCCGGAGGAAGCGGGGGCGGCGGGGCCGGGGCCGGGAGCGGGGCAGAGCCCCGGGAUCGGGAUGCGGCCGCGGCCCGGGACGCCGCCUCGUUGCCCGGAGCGACACCAUGCACCCGGCCGUGGCGGUGGGGCUGGUGUUCGGCGGCUGCUGCAGCAACGUGGUGUUCCUGGAGCUGCUGGCCAGGCAGUUCCCGGGCUGUGGGAACAUCGUCACCUUCUCGCAGUUCCUGUUCAUUGCCCUGGAAGGUUUCAUCUUCGAGGCCAACUUCGGCAGGAAGCGCCCGGCCAUCCCCAUCAGGAACUAUUUCAUCAUGGUGGCCAUGUUCUUCACCGUCAGCGUGGUCAAUAACUACGCCCUGAACCUGAACAUCGCCAUGC
rnacentral:lncRNA from 1 species